rnacentral:rRNA from 1 species
AUUGAACGCUGGCGGCGUGCCUAACACAUGCAAGUCGAGCGGUAGCAGGCGUAGCAAUACGUGCUGACGAGCGGCGAACGGGUGAGCAAUGCUUCGGAAUCUGCCCAAUGGUGGGGAAUAACCAGCCGAAAGGUUGGCUAAUACCGCAUACGCCCUACGGGGGAAAGCAGGGGAUCGCAAGACCUUGCGCCGAUGGAUGAGCCGAAGUCGGAUUAGCUAGUUGGUAGGGUAACGGCCUACCAAGGCGACGAUCCGUAGCUGGUCUGAGAGGACGACCAGCCACACUGGGACUGAGACACGGCCCAGACUCCUACGGGAGGCAGCAGUGGGGAAUAUUGGACAAUGGGCGAAAGCCUGAUCCAGCGACGCCGCGUGUGUGAAGAAGGCCUGCGGGUUGUAAAGUACUUUUAGUGGGG